CGGUAAUACGUAGGUGGCAAGCGUUGUCCGGAAUUAUUGGGCGUAAAGCGCGCGCAGGCGGUCCUUUAAGUCUGAUGUGAAAGCCCACGGCUCAACCGUGGAAGGUCAUUGGAAACUGGGGGACUUGAGUGCAGAAGAGGAAAGUGGAAUUCCAAGUGUAGCGGUGAAAUGCGUAGAGAUUUGGAGGAACACCAGUGGCGAAGGCGACUUUCUGGUCUGUAACUGACGCUGAGGCGCGAAAGCGUGGGGAGCAAACAGGAUU
rnacentral:rRNA from 1 species